GUCUAGGGCCAUACCAUCCUAAUCCUCCAGAUCUCAUUGAUCUCAGAAGAUAAGUAGGAUGGGCCUGGAUAGUACUUGGAUGGGAUAGAGGACAGUGAGUGCUUCAGUGG
ensembl:rRNA 5S_rRNA 5S ribosomal RNA